UUGGUGUGAAUAUGCUAUUAUUAGUAAGG
rnacentral:piRNA from 1 species